CUAUUCUAUUAGCUUUGAGUUUGUACACACUGCAAGAAGUUGUCCCUUACUUUAUAUCACUUAUAAAUACAUAAAAAGCUAGCUGAUAAUAUAUAUGAAUUAUUACUUACUGUACUAUAAUUUACUGUAAAAAUGCUCUCUGAUACAAAAUGCUGUGCAUAACAAUGUGUAUUAAAAGAUCCACUCUCCACCUACAUUUGGUUAUGAAAGCCUGAUAAGGGAUCAACAGUUCAUUGCAAUUGUUUUCAUAAUUGGACUACGGUAAUGUAAGAUGCUAACCUGAGCAGAAGCUGGGGAAGAGGAUGGGACAGAGCUGGUCCACUGAGGGCUGCAUAGGCCCAAGGGGAUGUGAGCUGCAGAUGACAUCAGCUGUGACUUCCUGCAUGCCCCAUUCUCUGGGAUUGGACUGAAGCUUUAUCUUGGGAGCCUGGAGCACUUUGUCGAGGUCUUGGAUGAAAGAUUGGGAGAUGAGGUGAAUUGGUGGGAAG
rnacentral:lncRNA from 1 species